rnacentral:lncRNA from 1 species
GGGGUCAAUUUUGCAUAAUAUUAUUGCCUUUUAUUUGUUAUUUCAUUGAAAAUUUUGUUGAAAAUUGAAAUUCUUCUAAUUGUUCUAGUUCUGUUCACGUACUUGUUCCAUUUUGUUAUACCAUAUGAAUCGACUGUUUAACUUUCUAACUUACUUUGGUCAUGCAGGUCCACUUAAAUUUUUCUCUGUUCUCUUAUCCAAGUAAAGUGCAUUUUGAUCCUUUUAGUGAGGCUUUGUCAGAACAUACAUUGUUGCCUCGUUCCCACAAGCUCGAAGAAAGUCGAAUCUCAAUUGUAUUAGCACCUAAAAUCUUAUAGAAUGAGUAAUCUCAACUUAAGCACAACUUUCUUUCUGCUUUAUAAAGAAUGGUUUUCCAGGAACUUAUAUUUUUGCUAAUAAAAGUAAAUAAUAGACAUAUUUGUAUAAUGGAUUCUUAUGUUCUGCCUAUCAUUGUGGAAUGCGUGCAUAUGAGUAUGUCUAUUGAUUUUUACCCUGGUUUUUUUGUCUGUGGAGGCCAUUUUGUUAGUACCAACUACAUCUAGCACUAUGCACAUCGUAAUGCAUAAAGAUGAGCUUUACUUAUGUGAUUUCAGUCAUGUUUGCUAGGUUUGUUUAUCACAUAAUUCAAUCAUGCCAUAAUAUUUACAUUGUCUAUUACAAAUUUAAAACUUUCUG